rnacentral:lncRNA from 1 species
UGAAUGGCUCACUAUGUGGCAGGCACACACUGUGUCAGUGUUUGUGAAUGGCUCACUAUGUGGCAGGCACGGACUCCCUAUGUGGUUCCCAUUGGCUCACUAUGUGGCAGGCACAGGCCGUGUCAGUGUUUCUGAAUGGCUCACUAUGUGGCAGGCACAGGCUGUGUCCGUGUUUCCCGUUGGCUCUCUAUGUGGCAGGCACUGCUCCCUUUGUGUUUCCCGUUGGCUCACUAUGUGGCAGGCACAGGCUCCCUGUGUGGUUCCCUUUAGCUCACUAUGUGGCAGGCAUAGGCCGUGUCAGUGUUCUGAAUGGCUCACUUUGUGGCAGGCACAGGUCGUGUCUGUGUUUCUGAAUGGCUCACUAUGUGGCAGGCACUGCUCCCCCUCUGUUUCCCAUUGGCUCUCUAUGUGGCAGGCCAGGCUCCCUGUGUGGCUCCCAUGGCUCUCUAUGUGGCAGGCACAGGCUCUCCAUGUGGCUACCAUUCACUACCUGCCUUGCCUCGUCUUUCUCCCCAUGUGGCUCAGCUUGGCUCCCUUUCUGGCUUGCACUGGCUCUCUAUAG